GAAAGCUAGGAGAGCGAAUGGGAUUAGAUACCCUAAUAGUCCUAUCUAUAAACGAUGCAUACUAGGCGCCAUAGAUAUCGACCCAACAAUAUUGUAACUAAUGUGUUAAGUAUUU
rnacentral:ncRNA from 1 species